CAGAUAGGCGAAAAAGCUUGCUUGGGAAUGAAUCUGUGCUACGCUCGUCAUGAAGAGAAAAAACAAAAGGAAAUCUUUCUUUUCAAGGAGAACGAGUUCACUGAUCUGAUGCAUAAUUUCAAUGCGUGUCUUCUGGGUGACAUGCUUCCAUUGGAAGCUUCAGUAGUACAAGGAGCCAUCCGCCAUUUUCUAAAGACUGUCACUUUGGUUCCGUCAAGCUAAUAAAAUUGAUUCUUC